ACACUGAAGCGUCGAUUGGAUUGAGGAGAGGUAGAGAAAGAAGAGGCCGAUGAGUAGGAAAACAAUAUAUUAAAAUGCUGGAAGGGGAAUCGCAAGCGACGAAGGAGAUGGUGAAGAUGUCGAUUAACCUAAUCUUCCUAUAUGUUUGUAUUAACAAACUGGGCCAGAUACUAAGCCCAAUAAAGUGAAAAUCAAUUAGCCCAAUCUUUUCUCGAAGCCCAUGUGUUACCAUCUAUUUUUACACAAACAGAC
rnacentral:lncRNA from 1 species